GCGGCAUGUACUUAAAGUCCCAGCCACUCAGGAGGCUGAGGCCCUUCCCAAGUUGCAUGAAAUGGAUGAAUAAUGUAUGAUGUCAUGCCUCAGUGAUUCACAUAGCUAAGCCCAGGGCCAAGAACAGAGACUGUAUUCCUUAGAAGAGAUGAUGUCCUAAAGUGACGAAUACAACUCGUGGUACAAACAGGAAGACAAAAGUUUCUUACGAGAGAAAUAUUUAUUCAACUGACAUUAACUGAGAUGGUCGGAAACUGCCUCUCAUUUUAAACACCUUUGCAGGAAACAGACUGCUUCUUAUUCCACCAAAACCCACACAAAAGGAAAACAGUUGUAGCUUGAGGGCAACUUUGAGAACAAAGACCAAAUAUUGACCCAAUUGAAAUUUGGCAGCUCCAUUUCCCUGAAGGGCCAACUCUGGGUCAUGGAUUAGGUGCUGUGGCUUUUCUUCCUUUUGCACGGUUCUGGCCUUGGCAGCACUGGGCUAUAGCCUCCAGGGUUGGUAAUUUGUCACUCUCCAGGAUAACUCUAUUUCAGAGGGAUUGUCAAGUGGCCAGGAAGGCAGCAGGGCCACCCGCUGUGACCUGAUGUCUGAGCCUGAGAAGACCUGUCCCUCUUGGCCAGGCACUUCCCCCCAGUCCUGUGGCUUUUGGACAUCUUCAGAGACCCAGGAUGAAUGGCCCAUAUCUGGUUUUUCUCUAGUUCAUAUUGGUGCUGUACUCUGCUAAGCAUGAGGUGGUUGUGUGAGAACUGGAGAAAGACGAGAACUGGGUAUUAUGUGGAUAGAGUGGCAUUUUGUUUAAAAAGUAAAGGAAAAUUUUGUGUACAUUGUCUAGUCCAGUGUUUCCAAUCAUUUUGUGUCUAAUAUUAUUUGG